CAUGUUUUAUAUCAUUUCUACUUUGCAAAAGUCUCCUGCACUUUGUGGAAAGGGAAUACAGGCAAGGUAUGAAUAUUACACAUGAAAAAAGGACAAAAAAUGGGUAAGAUUGGAGUUGAGAGGAAAAGGGAAUUAUAAAGAAAGACAGAAUUUUGGUAAUAAUUUCUUGCUUGUUGAACCAACUGCCUAUAAAUCAUCCCUGUUCUCUCUCUGUGUCUCGCCCACACUGGGGACACAGCAAAUGUUUUGUCAAGAUUCUUGUGUGGUGUCAGCAUUUUGGCACAGGGGAGUGAUUUAAGGGGGCAUGGCGUGCUUGUCAUGCCCCCACGCCUGACUGUUCCAGUCUGCCCUCAGAGUGUGUGCAAACAAAUAAAGCGCCGGGGCCUUUUUAAUUAGCUCCAGGGCAGAGAUUGACAGCUUGUAGUGGUAGAGAUAGCACAGUAACCAGCUAUUACUCUAAAUAUUUGGUACGUUGCACAGUUGAAACCAUAAGCGUGGGAUCUCUGGAGGCACAUUAGUGGGUGGAAAAUUGAAAACAAGUCACAGUGUACUUGUUGUUAAUGUGUAUUGUAGGUUAACAAUUUAACAAAAUCUAUACUGCAAAUAUUUUGUGUUAUUCCUUUUAUUAUUGGGAGUUUUUGUUUUUUCCAACAUGUGAAAGAGGGUUUUUGCAGUGGCAUUAUUGUAGAAAAAAAUAUAAUUUAUGAUAAGAAGAAGUAGAAGAAGAAAUAUUUUUGUGAGAGGUUUUUUUGAAGGCAUCACUUUUCUUAUUUCCAAUUUAUAAAUGCUUUAUUGUGUCACAGAGCAUCGACACUGCUCGCCCACACAAGGACACCUUGAAACAAUGUUGAUGUUGACCUUAGGGAUAUAAAGGUCAGCCUAAAUCACUAAGCUACAACUGGAGAGGGACAGAGCUCAACGGGGGCGUCUAAUGUCUGUGUGACUGAGCUGUACAUCAAAAAUAAGGAUUGGAAAAAUAUAUACAUUAAAGGUUAUUCUCCCUGUUCUAAACUUACUGUUUUAAAUGUGUACUUUAGAUUUUUUUGUUUAAUCACCACUCUUCAUACUAAUAUAAAUUGUUGAUGAUUUCAACCUUCAAUCUUUAUUUAACCAUUAGAAAUUAAAAAGUGAAAUAGAUUAAUAGUAAAUAAUGAUCAAACCGUAUGAAAACAACAUAAUCCAUGAAAAUGAAUAAAUUGUUUACACUUUUGAGACAGAAAUCACAGACUGACACUAUAAUUUCAUUGUUGAACAAAUUUAAGCUUUUGAUCUUAAAUUCACUCCCAAUAAUUGUUGUUGUCAUUGAAUCAGUGUAAUCCCUGGGUAAUGCAUGUCUUCAUAGGUUCUUAGAGGUUUAUUGCGCUGACGGUUUUGGCACGGCAUCAGAGGCGAGCCGGGGCAGAUGAAGAAUAGAAAUUCCAUGACAUGUGCUAGAUAUCAAAUUUCAGUUCUAUGGAAAUCCAGCAAACCUCUGCGCGAACAACACAUUACUCUCUCCAAUUAUUGCCGUUGCUUCGUAUCAGUAACAAUAUUUCGUACCCAAAUGUAACACCAUGGGACCGUACAAUCUGUUAUAAGAAAGCAGUCAUCAUUCACAGCCUGCUGAUGUUGUGUUACCGGACAAGUAACGACAUGUUGCUUCCUGAUCUUUCCUCAUGCUACAUCAUUUGCAUCUUUUAUUGACAGUGUCAUUUUACAUUUUUUCUAGAAGGGCUGAAUAUGGGUUGGUGAUACAAUAAAGUGAUAACAUGUUGAUUUAACUAUUCGCCCACAUUUCAAAUAUCAGCUUUCAAUAGCACGGUUGUUCUUCACGUACCCUGAUCAUGACCCUAGAUUUUUUUUUUUGUUCAGGGCCAUGAAAGUCAUUAUUUACUGUGCAACUGUGUGAGGGCAUAUCUGACGCUGAUGGGGCUUGUGUUUAUUUAAUGCAGACUAAAUGACGGGGUUCGGGCCUACAGCUUCCUCUGCUCUUAAAAUGUAAUUAUAGGGGGAUUCCUUUCCUGCACAGGCGUUUGACAACUCUGUUGAACUUUUCAUGAUACGCUGAUUCACGAUGCGUUGUAAAUACCUACCUAGUUUAACCUAAUCUUUAACAUUGUUCCUGGUAUAAAUUAUUAACCAUUUUUUCCUUUUGUUUCUGACAUUUUAAUGUCAUAUUUUGUGCAGGUUAUCAUAUAGAACCAAAGCAAAUAUAUAUUGCCAUUUAUAAAUAGCCAAUAAUAAAUUGAUAAAGUGAAACUAUAUAAAUUAUAUGAUAUGAAAAUGUUUUGUAAAAUCAAAUUACUAAUUGAAGGUUGAAGCCAACAAACUGAAGGAGAAACAGACUUCCCAGCAUGCACUGCAUUUGUUCCUGGUGAAAUUAUUAGCUAUUUCUUCCUUUUGUUUCUUAAGUUUUAACGUCAUGUUUUACCAAGGUUAUUAUCAUAUAAAACCUGAGCAAAUACUAAUUUUUAAACAGCCAAUAAACGGAUACUAAUAAAGUGAAUAUAUUUUGUAAAAUCAAAUUACAAAGUGAAGGUUUAAGCCCACAAACUAAAAACAACUGAAGGAGAGACACUGUAGACUUCCCAGCAUGCACUGCAUUUGUGACCCCACAGAAACCUUUUUAUAAUUUUUGCCUGAAGAGUUACAGGAUGUACUGUAUAUGAAAUCAGUCUGUGAUGGGAAAUAACGAAUAUUAUUAUAACCAUGACGUAGCUGGGGGUUAGUUUACUGUACAAGAACAAUUAAAACGAAUUUCCUCCUCCAUAAUAGACAAUAAAAGACUAUAUAAUACUGGAAAGUGGUUGAACUGUGCGCAUUCUACCAAAAACACCUCCCACAGUGAACAAAUAUAUUAUUGUAUUACAUAAAUUUCUCUCAUUUCUCUCUUUCUUUGGAUAAUUGAGAUAUUUGAAUGUAACACCAUCGUGGCCUAAUCCAGAAAACGUGUAGUUUCUAAAAAAAACAUCUAUUUUUAUUUCUUUGUCUUUUUGUUAUUUCUUUAUUUUUUUUUAAUUCUAAAUUACGUUUAAGUUCUUUCCCCUUCAUUUUGUUUUGUAAUUGUAAACCUCAGUGUCAGUAAGAAAUAUGGAUUAGACGCAUUUAGCGAGGCUCUCUCUCUCCAUUAGGAUCAGACCUGAAUGUUGAACGUGUGUGUGGAUAUUUUAGGGACCUGCUGCAGCUGACCCAGCGGAGUUCAUCCUGUCAGGAUUUUAUUCGAUCUAUAAUCGAUCCCCCCGGGGAUAGAUACAGUAUCUGUCUAUAAUGGAUUCAUCUCACCUCGCAGCUGCCACCUCAUCAUCAAGCAUCGAAGGGUGCAUGUUUUGCAAGGCCUCAGGAACAAAAGGUCUUUAAAAGAAACUCACAAUUCAAUUUCUUACUGGGGAAAAUAUGACAACACGCAUCAACAUGCAUAAAAUCAAAUGCGGUGAAUCGGGGUACAAGUUAUUUAGAUUAACUAAUAACAAGAGUACACUAUAAGGAAAAAGUAAACCAAUCAUUAUUUCAUCAAUCAAAAUAAAAUCAUCAAAAAAUAUUAAUAUGAUGUUUUGUGACGUUAUGUGGAGACGUCAGUUGCUGAUUUGAACCUUUGUGAAAUUUCGACCAAUUAACUAUCAGUCAGAAAAAUAAAACGAACCAAGCAGAGAGUUCAAACGUUAUUCAGAUGGCUGAAACAUAAAUAACGAUUCGGUUUUCCUCUUACAAUUCCCCCAGAGUUAGAAAAUUCGACUGAAAUAUUUUCUAGGAUAUUUCUAUUUCCAUUAAAACAAAUAGAAAUAUUCUGACGUCUUGUGCAUUAAUUAUAAAAUAUUUUUAUAAAACAGAAAUAGUUAGGAUUUUUUUUCACAAUGUGGGAUUUAUUAAAGUUGUUAAAGAAAAUGAUGUUGGUUUGAAGAGUCUUUGUCCUGUGUUUGUGGUGGAUGAUAAUGUAAUGGUUGUAUGUAAAGAGCUGGAAAAGGGCUAGAAAAUUAUUUGUUAUGUUUUUUAGAAUAUAGUAUAUUAGCAACCCAUCUGCUACAUAAAAGAAUAAAAUAAACAUUUGAUAUCAAUAGAAACAGGCUACUGAGCAAAAUCAGAGAGAACAUUUUGUACCCAGAAACCUAGAAAAGUUUCAAAAACAGCUUGCAGUUUCAGAAAUAAAACAUCUCUCAGCUAGUGCAAGUAUGUGAUAUUUCUGCUUUCAGUGAGUUUAUUUAGUCUGCUGUUCAUCCUCAAAGUUUCCUUACUUGUUCUGCAACGCAUGGCUGAGGAAGUAAAACACACCACAGGAAAAGAAAAAAAAAAUCUUCUCAUUCAAUUAAUUCUUUUCUGCUCAUUGUCAGCCGAUUCCCACACGAAAGAAACCCACACAAAGCAGCGACGAUACAUGUUUAUCAUAUAUAAAUAUAAAUCACAGACAAUAUAAAAGUAAUUGUAUUCAGUGAUGAUUUAGAUAGUAAUAUAAAUGUUACAGUAUUAUUGUGUAUGGGCACAGCAGGAAUUUGAAAACUAGGUUUGAAUUAAGUUUGGGAACUAAAUGUAACCUGAAACAAUGACAAGUUGAAAUUUGUAAAUUUAUGAGAAGAAUUAUUUAAUAUUUCUAUAAAAACGAUGUUAUCUUGAUAUGCUGGAGAAUGUUUGAAUUGUCCUAUAAGUAUAUUAAUCUGACUGUCCUCUUACAAAAAAAGGACUGUUCAAUUAUUAACAUUAUGAUGUUUUUUAAUACCAGAAAUGUCACUUUUUCAGUGGAAAAGAAGAGGUAAAUAAAGCGCUGCUAUCGUGUUGUAUCAAUUACAACUGACCACCAGUCAGGUGGGUCUGCGGGACAUUUUUGAUCACGGAGGGGCAGCCAGCUCGCUCAGCGCCUCCAGCCUGCUCCCAGACUCCAGUCCCAGGCCCCGCUGAGGCCUUGUCCCAGGCAGGGCAGAGAGACACCUGGCCAAACCACAGAAACACUUCCAGCUGCAGACUGCCUGAUGCUCACCACUGAGAGAAUCCAGGCCAAAGGUGGAGGAGCUCACCAAGAACUACUGCACUGCCAUAUACAUUUCUCUGAAUUUCAUGUUUAUUUUAAUCUCGGUACUAAGCCUUUGUUCGUCUUUAAAUUCCUAAAGUCAUUUUAAACAAGCUUUUGUACUGUCAAAAUGUUUACACUGUGUCACAAUAAGUCCCCUUCUUCCUCAGAAUGGAAAAACAGGGCAGCAAGACUGUUAAACUGUGCUCCUCAAAGUGAAAGUGGGAGAGCACAAGGGGUGAAAAAAAGGCAGAGAGAACAACAGCUCCCUUUUCUCUCCGACCAGUUGACAUGAAAGACCACAUUAUGUCUGAGAUUAGAGGCAAUUACACUGGGAGUGCGCUUUAAGACCUUUGUUUGCCAACAUGACAGGAGGGAGCAGGGCUGUAAUUUGAUGAGGGGGCAGCGUGAGUGAGAAACUCUGCAUGGCUGUCUCCCAGCGGAGAGAGUCAAAGAGAAGUCUUUGUCCGUAGCAUGGACAUGGCAGUUGGCAGAAAUGUUAAUGUUCAGAGGAAGAUUAAUUCAACUGGGAUUCAUUAAUUAGAGUUCUCUUUAUCCCCAUUGCCAUCGUCUACCGUUUAUGGCUGAAAAGUGAGUUUAAAGAGACUUUACAGCCCCAAAGGAAACACUUUCAUCUUUGCCUUUUGUUCCAGAUGACAGUUCAAACACUGCUAUCUAUUGUUUCAGCAUUUAUAUUAAUUCAAAUGGCACAAUUGUGUUGGUUCAUUCAAAUGUCACAAAUACUAUAAACAUAUGAUUCAGUCUCAACCUGCGGUCAAACAAAAGCACCAGAUCUUCAAGACGUGACACCUCCUCUAUUCUGGCCGGGCGCAUUGUUCGAACAUGCUGCAAGUUUUCAGGACAGGAAACGAGCAGCUUGUUCCAGCCCGACCGGCAGAAUGGAGCACGUCUUUAUUUGAGGGAAGUCAUUCCGUUGAUAUAUAAAACACCAAAGCAAAGUUUCCUUCCCCCUCACUUUCCUGGUGCUAUCCCCUUCAAAAGGACACGGCCCUUUAUACUAGGCUCACAUGCACACACGGGACCAGAAGAAAAACAAACAGAGGCAAUUUAAAUAUCAACCAACCUGCCUUCUGUUUGAAUGGAGUAGCUACUGCACAGCUCGGCCCAGGCUCGUCCAGCAUGCUGGUGUUACGUGCUCAGCCCUUUUAACCAUGGAUGUGGACCCAAACUGGGGAAUAACAGCAAAACCAAGCACUGUGGUGGUCAUUUCUGCAGGUAUACUGUGAUGUUAAAUAUACUAUUUAUAUGCAGUAUAAAUAAAGAGAAAACCAUGCCCAAA